GUACUCAGGUGAAUAAGAUGCUUGUGUGAUGUUAUUCUGAGUGUACACUCAGAGUAACAUCACAUAAGCAUCUUAUUUACCUGAGUACAUUA